UACGGGGGGGGCAAGCGUUGUUCAGAAUUACUGGGCGUAAAGGGCUCGUAGGCGGCCAACUAAGUCAGACGUGAAAUCCCUCGGCUUAACCGGGGAACUGCGUCUGAUACUGGAUGGCUUGAGUGUGGGAGAGGGAUGCGGAAUUCCAGGUGUAGCGGUGAAAUGCGUAGAUAUCUGGAGGAACACCGGUGGCGAAGGCGGCAUCCUGGACCACGACUGACGCUGAGUGAGCGAAAGCCAGGGGAGCAAACGGG
rnacentral:rRNA from 1 species